AUCACUUGUCAACAGACUCCUCAUCUUUUUUUUUUUUUUUUUUUCGCUUCUAGCUAUCUUUUCUCUGUAUUCCCUCUUUGCUCUCAGGACCACUGCAUUCUAAUUCUUAUCUCAGGGCCUUUAGGAAGGAUCUGAUCUAUGACAGUACCAGGGAGAGUUCUACAAGACAGAACUAUAGAGUGAAAAUCUAGAAUUUGUAUAGUGCAUCAAAGUUCCUCCAUGUACGAGAAAGUCUAAAAUGCCAGCAGAGCUUCUCAUUUAGAGGGAGAGCAGAGGACAGAUAAUAACAAAAUCCUAGUCCAAAUUCACCAACAGAAUCCACCUAUAUGCGCUACCCCAGCUGCCAAGUACUUAGCUGUUGGCAGAACCCUCUUAUUGGUUCCCUGACCCAUAGAAUUAGUGAUGUCAUAGUAGAAAAACCAAGGGGAGACCACUGAUGUUACUCUACCUUCUUUCUUGUUGAACGAAGCAGUAACCGGGGCUGUGAAUAAUGUCUUCAAAGGCUGAAAGGACACAAGAGGGCUCACCUCUGAAAGCUCCUACCACCUCCCAGUAGAGCCGCAGUUUCCUUGUGGACCUAAUAAUGAAAACAGACACAAGUCUAUAUAUCAUAAGCACUGAAAAGAAGGAAGGAACCCGUUUGUUGAAGAUUGGUGAUGAUAAAAAGUCAUAAUACAUCCAUUGCAAGAUAAGUGCAUCAAGCUGAAAACAAUACUUGCAUUAUGAUGUCUUUUAAAAUUAGUGUUUUUAUACACACAAGGAAAAACAAAAGCAAAAGGAUGUAAGCAGUAAUUAAUAUUGAGCAAUGGGUUUAAAGAAUUUUCUUUCCUUGUUUUUUGCAUCUUUACACUGUAGGAAUAUUUUACAACGAACAUCUAUUAUUUCUAUUAUAAAAGAAAACAAUGAAGUUGGGUGUUUUUUUUUUUAAGAAAAAAAAAAAGAGAAAAAGAGAGAAUGAAAAAUCCCAUAGAGAGUGGCAUUGUUCCAGACUGGGUCGUGGGCCAAGAUUCCGACUCUGCUGCACAGGGGUGGACAGGACCUCCCUCAGCUGGAGUCUGUGAAUAGCUUGAUUGACAGUCUCUGCCUGAACUGGGCUUUCAUGCAUCUGGCAUGCCUCAGCUGGGAACCCCCUUAAAAUUUCCAUGAAGGGGCCUCUUGGCUGUGUGUGUGGUACUGACCAUUUCUUCAUUUUCUGUUCAGCCAUAGAGCCAAGAAUGCUCUUGCUAUGGGAUCAAGCUCCAUUCUUCUCGUUACUUCCUCACUCUAUGAUCUUCAGCUGACUCCCUACCCUCUGCAGGCUACCUAAGUCAGGGCAUCGUCAGGCUCUGAGAAAUAAGAAAUAAGACAGGGAUUUCUCCAGGUUUCUAUGCUGAUGGGCAACCAGACAGAAGAGAGAAGCACCGAUCACCACCCCUAAAUUCACAAAAGUACCCACCUAAGAGAAGCUGAUGGCACCAUCAUCCAGAACAAUCACAAGGAAGACAUGAUUAUUCAGACCUACUGAUGGGCUUCAGGCUGUAGAGAGCUCGCCGAAGUAAAACACCCACUGUACAAACAAUAAAGAAAAGAGUGGAUCAUAUGAAAACAUCCAUUCCGGUUCACUUUACUACAAAUCAGAGCAGUUUUGAAAGCAAGACCUGCUUGAGAUGAUGGGUGGCCUGUACCCCCUAAAAGAAUGCAUUGUUUUGUUGCGGGGAGGAAGAACUGGUGAGGAGGAUAGUAAAAGUGAUUCUAAAGAAUGAAGUUAGAAUGGAACAAGACGACAUUCUAUACAGAUUUUAACUGGUCAAGGUGAAUCCAAUAUAUCAUUCCACUCCAGCAAUUCUGAUAGCUCACUAGGAAAGAACGCAAGAAGUGUUGUAGACGAGAAAGCGAGAAGAGUGUAAGUGGUGAAUGCUCUUGAAACAAGGAGAAAAUGGCAAGGGCAAGGUAGAAGCAUGCAUCAUUACAGAAGACUAUACAAAGAAUAAACACAAAGUACUCUGCUGCCUGGGAAGAUGUGAAACCUGAUUUCACUGCUAAGCUUGAAGAAGCAGAAACAAACAACUGAAAAGCAGGUUUCUAAACAAGUAUUGCCUGAGCCUUGGCAGAAGAGGGGCUCUAUGUGUGAAAUGAUGUUGUAUUUAGGACUGCAUACUCAACAACCACUUAUUCUCCUCACUGUGACUUUUGUGAGUCUCUGUAUGAACCUUCAUCCCCCACAAAAGGAAUCUUCUCUGAUGAGGACUGAGAGAUGCAUCAUUCAUGCAGUUUUAUCCUUUGAGCUGUUCAGAAGUUUAUGGAAGAAAAGACUGGGAAUAUGAAUAGGAUAAGAAAACAUUGUUUUCAAAGGAACAUUGCAGGAGAGUGGGCGGAAAGACCGUAAGAGCCAGAGGACCAGGAAGUUCGCCAUGAGGUCCCAUCUCCUAGUAACGUCAGACGCUACAUCCGUAAAGUCUCACCAACAUGAGUUGAACUAAACGGACAACAGACCUGCUAUAGGGGAAAGUCAUGAGGCCUCGAUCCAUGUGAAUGACAGAUACUAAAGAAUGCUCUUCGGCAGAGAAGAGCACAUCAAUUAGUUAUCCAGUGCUGAAUGGUCAGCUCUGACAACAUGCGUACAAAUAAUAGUUUACAGACAGAAUAUGUUAUUUUAAGGAAUAUAUAUGUAUAUACACAUACAUAUAUGCAUGGAAUGACAAUUAAUGGAAAAAGAGACCAUGGAUUUGAAAGAGAGCAAAGAGAGAUGUAGACUCUUGGCUCCUUCUCCAGCACCAUGCCUGCCUU